rnacentral:rRNA from 1 species
AUUGAACGCUGGCGGCAGGCCUAACACAUGCAAGUCGAGCGGGGUUUUCGAACCUAGCGGCGGACGGGUGAGUAAUGCGUAGGAAGCUACCCGAUAGAGGGGGAUACCAGUUGGAAACGACUGUUAAUACCGCAUAAUGUCUACGGACCAAAGUGUGGGACCUUCGGGCCACAUGCUAUCGGAUGUGCCUACGUGGGAUUAGCCAGUUGGUGAGGUAAUGGCUCACCAAGGCGAUGAUCCCUAGCUGGUUUGAGAGGAUGAUCAGCCACACUGGAACUGAGACACGGUCCAGACUCCUACGGGAGGCAGCAGUGGGGAAUAUUGGACAAUGGGCGCAAGCCUGAUCCAGCCAUGCCGCGUGUGUGAAGAAGGCCUUCGGGUUGUAAAGCACUUUCAGUAGGGAGGAAGCGUUGUGUGUUAAUAGUACACAGCGUUGACGUUACCUACAGAAGAAGCACCGGCUAACUCUGUGCCAGCCGCCGCCGUAAGAC